UUUUUUUUUUUUUUCCCCUCCUUCUUCCAAACUCUGUCUCUGGGUUUCUAUUCGGCACCAGGGGGCAGAGGCUGAGUUUCGGCAACACACACAGGAUGAUGGGAGAUGCAACGGAGCUCUCUGCAGAAAGCCAAGGUCUCGAGGCACUGCACGCCUAAUAAAUGGGGAGCCAAAGAAAGGUCUGCCCACUGACAAAGGGAGAUGACAAGAAAACUGUCUCUGACCAAAAAGCCCGCACAUCUCCCGAGAACCUAUAGCUGUGGGUCUGUCCUCAGAGGAGGCUGGGAUAGGCUGGUGGAGAGCCCAAGCCAGUGACCUUAAAAGCAGCCCCAGGCAGUGACAGCCCCAGGCCACCAGGCAGAGCCACCGUGAAGAUGCUCUGGAGAAGCAGGUGCACAAGCUGGACCUCGGGGGUUGCCCCAGAUAAAGACUGACUGGAAAUAAACUCAGGAUCUCAAAUGACACAGCACAAGGAAACAGGCCACCAUGAGGGAAGGAGAGCAAACACGACACAUGUCAGGAUGAAAUUCCUAGAACUUCUGCCAAGAAACUAAAGGAAAGAAGAGACUGUAAAAUGAAUUUGUUUAACAUAACCAAAGACACAAAAGAAGACAAGAAUAGAACUAGAUGUUAUAAAAGCCAGGUCCUAGCUUACUGAGUACCCAUCCGGGCAUCCAAGGAGAUGGGACCUGGGAGCAUGGAGCAUCGUAUGCAGUCUGAGCAUUGAUUUCCCUGUCCUCCCCUGGCGUUUCGCAGUUGGCAUAAAAACCCCCAUGGACUCGAGUGCCUGGUGGGUCCACGAGGGUGUUAGGCACCAACUCCACUCCUGUCUGGGUCACAGUGAAAACAUCUGGCUUUGCACAGAAUAGACAACUUCUAGAGCAAGUGGCGCUUUCUGCGGUUCAUGUCUAACAAGAGCCCAGUGGGAGAAACAACACUCAUGACCUUGGGCCAGAAGGUCUGUAACUCCCCCCGUCACCCCAGAUCAGAGCCUGCCAAGGGCCUGGAGUUCAGGAUCUGUGAAACCCUGACACUGUCUGCUUAGCUCCUGAAGGUGAAUGUGCCAUUUGCUGGGGGGAAGGGUGUGGCUUUCAUGGGCUCCUCAGAAAAGGCCAGGACCCCACCUUCAGGCCAAGCCGAGGAAUGAGCACAUGGCCCAUCCAUGUGGAGCAUCUGUGGUACCCAAAGAUUUGGAGUGGAGGAGGGAAAACAUUAUUUUUAUAGUUAAAUACAAAUGGCUCAGUUACAGCCUGAGGUGACAUCCUCAUGGAUUUUGAAGAUGACACAUGAAACUUCAGUCAUUUCAAGGUUAUGGUCCCCCCUGCAGAUCACCUGAGGAUGCCCCGCUCCAUCACCCUUGCACUUGAGAGAGCCUGAGGUCCUGCUCCAGAUACUAGUCUUUAGAUCAAACCAGACCACAGGAGCCCUGAGGGUGCUGCUCAGCACAUCAUACAGGGAACCCUUUAUGAGGGCUCCUGGGAGGACGAUCCCUUGGGUUUCAUGACAGGAAAAUCUGUAUUUUCCUUCUAAGAGGAUUAUGAAUCUAGUGAGUGAUCCUCUUUUUUUUCCUUUUUGCUUUUGUUGCCAGGAAGCUCAAGGUAAAAAAAAAACAGUCCAUAUCUCACAAGUGUACUAGAUCUCCUAGCACUUUUUUUUUUUAAACUCCAGGAACAUCUUGAGAAUGAUUGUAGCACUAUCACAACCACAGGUAUUAUAUUAGGGGCAUUUUCUAGUAGCCAGGCAUGGGCCUGAGGGGUGCACACAUAGAGUCAUGCUGCCCCAAUACCCUCUGAUGCAGGUACUGCCAUCCCUGCUUCACAGACAGGGCUGAUAGGCUGCAGGAGGGGCAGGGAUGGUCCCAUGGCACAUGGGGGUGAGACCGGGGUGGGGAGCCUCAAACGGGGCAUUUCCCCUGCAGCCUCCACAGCAGGGGAGCCGCAGCAAUCAGACUCCACUUCCUGCGGAGGGGCUCGGAGUAGGGGUGCAUGGGGGGCUGGGAGAGCAAGAGACUGGGAGGAUCCCACUUCCAGAGGUGUCCGGGGCAGGGGAUGGGAAGACACCUGUUCCAGGCCCCUGGAGUCCCGGCCUCUCCAGCCCUCUUACACACCCGUGUCUGAAGUUCUUACACUUUCCUUGCCAUGAACUUGGUUUAAGUUUGGGAAUGACACAAGCAUUUAACAAAAGCCACCUGCCCCUUGUUUCCUACCAGAAAGGACGCUGGAUAACCUGGCCCAAUUGUGCCUCCCAGGCCUUCUGAGCCCUGAUGUUUCCCACAAGGAGCCCUGCCCAAAGGCCACAGGACUUCAGGUAGCCCAGCUGUCCAUUUAAUAGACAGAAAGACUGAGGCCUCGAGCAGGGGUGGGACACACAGUGUCACCCCCAGCAGGACUGUCUUUUAUUUAUUUAUUUAUUUUGCCUUUCUUUUUUUUUUUUAGGGCCACACCUGCAUUAUAUGGAAGUUCCCAGGCUAAGGGUCGAUCAGAGCUGCAGCUGCCGGCCACAGCCACAGCCACGGCCACUCGGGAUCCGAGCCGUGUCUGCGAUCUACACCGGAACUCACAGAAAUGUUGGAUCCUUAACCCGCUGAGCGAGGCCAGGGAUCAAACCCGCAUCCUCAUGGACACUAGUCAGGUUCAUUUCUGCUGCGUCACAACGGGAACUCCCAGGACUGUCUUAAUUAUGGUGAAAAGGAGCAAAUACUGAGGUCGUACUAGGUGCUGGGCCCCCCGUCCCACCCCUACUUCCAGCAGGUCAGAAUUUCCAUCUGCAUCUUCCCAACGGGGAAACUGAGGCUCCAGGAGCUGCCCUGCCCGCUGCACAGCGGUAAGUGGAAGCGAGGCAGUCAAGCCCAGCUCUGGCCCGGAGGCCACAGACCUCACGCCAUCACUCCAGCUACCCCCCAUCAAGUCAUCAUUGUAAAAGCACCUACUGCAGCGGAAGCCGGUCCCCAGAGGCUGCCACUCUGCCCCGGCCCUGGAGAGUCACAGGAGGCCAGUAACAGAAGGGGCUGUGGGUGCAGCGUUAGAAGUGCCUCCAGCGGCGGUGAUGCUGCAGACAGGCCUGGCGCGGUGACCUCACCGUGGCGCAGAUGCGAUGCCAGGAACUGGAUUGAUUGUGGCAUUGAGGAGGAUGCCAGCUGAGCCAUCGCGAGGGGCCGGGCCCCAUGCUCUGCAACUACACGGGCCACCACAGAACCUGACAACGGUCCCUGGGGGGAGCUCUGGGUGGGACAGCGCGCGGUCACGUAGGCAGUCGGGACGCAGGCAGGAGGUGGCCCUCUGGCCUCUCCUUCUCACCCCAGCACCCCUGGCCUCCUGCAGGUGUCAGCCCUAGACCUGCGCCUGAUGGCGAUGGCGGGGAUGGGGAGGGGCUGGCGGGGGCGCUGCUGUCAGAUUGGCCAGGUCUCUCUCUCCAGGUGUCACAGGGGGAAGGAACCACACAGACAGGGCAGGUAGAGGGAGCGGAAGUGGGAGGGGGCCUGGGAGGCAGGAGCCAGAGCCCCAGGGGCAGAGAAGGGCUGGGAGCCACCAGGGAAGGCCCUGCACUUAAGAUUCCCGCCCCAGGUUCCCGGCUGGCUUUUCCCCGGGCACUUAAACUUGAGCCUGAGGAAAGUCAGUGACCUCUGCCCCAGCCACCUUAUAAGCAACAGGGCUACCCCCUGCUCCCUGUGUCCUGCUCCCCUGACCUGGGACGGAGGACUGCCCUUCCCCCACUCAUUAUGCACCCACACCCCCAUUGCUGGGACCCGUAAGUGAUGAAUCUUGUGACUUUGCUUCCCUUCUGUGAGUGUCCUGAAACCAUGCUGUCAACCACCCUCCUCGGGGUUUUCAUGUCCCCAGAGAGGGAGCUUGGAUGCAGAGGGAGCUCCCGCCAGCCACAGCCCCCCAACACACACCUCUUGGGGUUCAGACCUCCUGACUGCUCCCCACCCCACGCUCCACCCCAGGCCCUGUGGGGCCCCGUCUGAGCCUCCCAUCUGAUGCCACCAUCAUGAGUGGGCACCUCUCAGGGUGGCGGCAGGGGUGGAGGAGACGCGGGUAUGGAAUGAGAGGUGAGGGCCUUCGGGAACCCCUCCUUCCCGGGAGGCUCAGAUGAUGCGCAUCCACAGCUCUGGGCUCUGGGAGCCCGGGGCUGGGGUCACAGGUGGCUCGUGGAGCUGCAAAGCCCCAGGCCCUGCCCCCAGCCUGUUGCUAGGACCCUCCUGGAUCUGCAUCAGUUGGGAAGCCCUUCUCUGGGGGCGGGUUAGCCAGGCCGGCCUCAGGUCCAGGCGCCCUCCUCCCAACUCCCUACCGCGGGUGCAGUCACCCGUCCCUCCCCACAGCUCACUGCCCCAUCCUCCCGAGCCUCAGUCUCUCCAUCUGCGAGAUGGGACCCGGGCCCAGCGUGGGGUCCAGGCGCGGCUGCUCUGCUCGCCCAAGAGCUGGGGCCUGGGCAGAUCCACAGCCGACAGGGCCGAGGCCAGGAGCUGGCACGGGGACAGCAUCCUGCCGCCUAUUCCCCUGGAGCCGUCCUCUGGGGCACUGGGCGUGGGCGCGUGGCCCAGCCCAGCCCCCGGCCUGACCUCCAGGGGCUCCCCACUCAGGUCUCGGCAGUUUCUGUUUUUGAGUCACAGAAGCCCGGGCUCUUUUUCUGUGGUUCCCGGCGUGGGUGGCAGAUGGGGUGGGGACCGAGGUGAGAAGUCAGCCCGCGAGCUGGGGCUGCCAUCGCUGCAAAAGCCACACGGCUCCGCCUGUGACUGGCAUGGCCCAUGGGGUUUCCCCAGACUCAGGCAGGUGACAGGAGAGGGUUCUCCUAGGAUUCUCUGCAGGGAUGAGACAGGGGGUGAUUGGUCCCAAGCUCCCAGCCCCUUACCAGGAGCCCAGGCUGUCAGCUCACGGUUGUCUGUGGGGAGAGGAGGAGGGGGUCAAGAGCCUCCUUGAAGCCUCCUGAGCAAAUGAAAGCGGAAGCCAACUUACUUCCUGGUGGCCAGGCCAGUUCAUGUCCAUGUGCUUGUCCUUCACUGACUGUGAUGACCUUUCCCUAAGCCUGGUCUGGUCGGCCAACUCCUAUUCAUCCUGCAAAACCCUGCUCAGGGUGACCUCACCCACCACAGUCUUCUCCACAAGGCCCACCUUAGCAUACACACCACUGCACUUGGAGGACAGUACUGUCUAGGCCACGUGCUGCAGGGACGCAUUCCCCAGGAGGCUCAGAGAGUGAGAUCCCUCCCUGCUGGGGGUGCAGCCCUAAAGAGCAUGGGGGGACAAAGAAAGAACUUAUUUCUUGAGAACCUAAUACGCACCAGAACCUGAGCUAAGCGCUGGAUUUGAAUGUGACCUUGGCCACAUCUUUUACCCUGAGGCAGCCUCAGUGCCUGUGUGGCCUCAUAACUGCUCCAGAAGGAAGCUAGAAUAUGGUGGAGGGAGAGGAGAUGCCCUCACUUUCCCGGGGUGGGGGGUGGGUGCCCACACUGGGCAUAUGUCUAGCCCCUGCCCCCGGGGGGCCCAGCCCACACCGCCUUCUCUGCCCACCUUGCCUGCCCAGCUCAAAAUCCACAGGGGCCGAGGACCCUCGCCCACUCCUGGUGAAGCAGGGGAAGGAGAAGGGUGGGCCCUGGACGGGGCCUGGUGGGCUUCCUCCUUCCCCUCCCCUCCCCCUGCCUACAGCACAGAGUCCCCUGUGUUAGCACAUGCAGGAGGGAAACCCACCUGAGCUCAGGGACAUUCCCUACCCCACACCCCCUCCUGGAGGCCCCUUUAGCCUCGGGGUCAACGGCCGGCCACCUUGACCCAUUAGCACAGAGGUCAAGGUAAAGCAGAAGACACCUCACCUGCACUGCCCCCCCCAUGUGUUCCCCACCUGCCUCCAUCCUCAGCUGGCCGGAGCCAGAGCAUCCUGAGCCCGCCCUCUCUCGGACCCACCUGCUUUGUUUCUGCCACCCCUGGGGCCGCUCCCACAUGCCCUCGGGUCCACACUGGGGGUGUCCGCAUUAAUCUCCUUUUGGCUGCUUGAAGCUCGUUCCAGCUGGACUUGUGAAAUCAACGUCUUUCCCUCUUCUGUGGGUUCUCCCCGGAGCCCUGUCCCCAGGUGCCUCCUGUGCUGGGCCAGGGCCUCCCUGGGCUUCCCUUGCGACCGCUCCAUCACGCCACGGGGCCGCGUCCCCGCAGCCUCCCCCAUCAGACUGUGUCAGGGCCGUCAGAGGGAGGAGGGCUCUCUCCAACAGACUGAGUGUCCCGGCGGCAGGCGCUGUGUCUCUGGCUCAGGUGCCUCGAAGGCACAAGACUCUCAACACACAGACCACGUCAUCACAUGCACUCACGAAAACUGGAAAAACACAAAAAAGCUGGAAGAGGAAACAAACCGCCAGAGAAAGUUUUUGCUGCCAUCAGGGUGCAUCUCCUUCCUGUCUCUUUUUUUCUUUUUAGGGCCGCACUUACGGCAUAUGGAAGUUUCCAGGCUAGGGGGUGAAUUAGAGCUGCCACUGCCGGCCUGGGCCACAGCCAGAGUAGCAUCAAAUCUGAGCUGCAUCUGUGACCUGCACCACAGCUUAUGGCAACGCUGGCUCCUUAACCCACGGAGUGAGGCCAGGGAUUGAACCUGCAUCCUCACAGGUACUAUGUUGGGUUCUUAACCUGCUGAGCCACAACAGGAACGCCUCC
ensembl:lncRNA